rnacentral:rRNA from 1 species
GACAGAGGGUGCAAACGUUGUUCGGAAUUACUGGGCGUAAAGCGCGUGUAGGCUGCUCAGAAAGUCGGAUGUGAAAGCCCUGGGCUCAACCUAGGAAGUGCAUUCGAAACUUCUGAGCUGGAGUUCUGGAGAGGAAGGCGGAAUUCUCGGUGUAGAGGUGAAAUUCGUAGAUAUCGAGAAGAACACCGGUGGCGAAGGCGGCCUUCUGGACAGUGACUGACGCUGAGACGCGAAAGCGUGGGGAGCAAACAGG